AUUACUUUGGCAGAUUAGUGCUUUAAAUUUAGAAUUUAAAUAUGUAUAUUAAUUACAGGUAAUA
rnacentral:tRNA from 1 species